CCUGACGCUGUUGAGUCCCGUGGGAGGGGAGCUGGGCACCCUGAUGCCCCUCGUCACCAGUUCCGGGGCUGCAGAGCAGAGAGUGACGACAGCCAGUGAUUCGUCUGUCGACGGCAAUGGGGGCCCUGGUGACGGCUGCUUUGUUGUUUUUUUCCUCUCUGGAAGAUGACUCAGUGUAUCAGGAGCCGGGAGAUGGAGCUCUCAGCUGAGUGGCCAGAAUGUUCUGUCAACAUGAAAGCAGCAGAAACAGCUCAUUGGGGCUCGGAGCCGAUCCCUAGCCUGGGGUCAUUUUCAGGGAGGGCUGAUGAGAGAAGAAGGCCACUGCCAGGCAUGAGGAUGGGGGCGAUACCAGAGAAUUCAGGAGAGUGCAGCUUGGCUUGUGAGCUGGUGACAACCUCUUGGUGACUGGCUCAGCUGAGGAUGGUGCUGGUGUUCCCAGGACAGCAUCAUACUGCUGGAUGGCUCGCUUGCAUUUUAUUUGGAGCACACAUACACACACAUGAAGCCUGGCAGUCCUGCUCUCUGUGAUGCUGUCGAGCCACAAGUGUGACCAAUGUGACAUGAUCCCAGUCUUGUCAGGGAGUCACCACCAGACUGCUCUUGGAAACCAGAAACAGCAAGGAAAACAGGAUCUAACCCCAUGCCAGCCUUCCAGCUUGAACCCUGAGUAGCAGCCUUGGAAGUCUCAGACCACAUGUCACCC